rnacentral:tmRNA from 1 species
GGGGAUGACAGGCUUCGACGGGGAAGGCUGGUCCUGGACUGCAAGCCGAGCACGCUUUACAACUCGUAAAACUGGAAGCAAACAAUUAAGUGCCAAUAAUAACGCACGCUCCUAUAACGCUCUUCCUCUCGCUGCAUAAGCCUGAGAAAACGUUAUGAUGAGUCCAUAGACAGGACUCCCGUCUACCCUGAGCUUUCGUCGGCAGCGACGGUUUGUAGGCGACAUGAACGCUCGACGUGCGCCACUUUGACACCGAUAAAAGUGGUUAAGAGAUCCUUUCGGGGAUCAUCGGCUCGCUGAUGGCUGACCCAGUUGAUCGGGGCGCCCAUCAGUAAAAUGUAAAUAGAUUGACUAAGCUUGUAGACGUUCAGAGGCUGAAUUUUUCGGACGCGGGUUCGAUUCCCGCCAUCUCCACAC